rnacentral:rRNA from 1 species
GUGGGGAAUAUUGGACAAUGGGGGAAACCCUGAUCCAGCAAUGCCGCGUGAGUGAAAAAGGCCUUAGGGUUGUAAAACUCUUUCACCCGUGAAGAUGAUGACGGUAGCGGGAGAAGAAGCCCCGGCUAACUCCGUGCCAGCAGCCGCGGUAAUACGGAGGGGGCUAGCGUUGUUCGGAAUUACUGGGCGUAAAGCGCGCGUAGGCGGCUUAUCAAGUUAGGCGUGAAAGGCCUGGGCUCAACCCGGGAACUGCGCUUAAUACUGGUAGACUUGAGUCCGGGAGAGGGUGGCGGAAUUCCCAGUGUAGAGGUGAAAUUCGUAGAUAUUGGGAAGAACACCAGUGGCGAAGGCGGCCACCUGGCCCGGUACUGACGCUGAGGUGCGAAAGCGUGGGGAGCAAACAGG